AUCGCUUCUCGGCCUUUUGGCUAAGAUCAAGUGUAGUGUUCUAGACUGUACAGUGGCAAGUGUAGUGAGGCGGGCAUCACGGAGCCCAUCAACAUCU
rnacentral:snRNA from 1 species